UGAGUGCAGAAGCCACCACUGGCAUGA
rnacentral:piRNA from 1 species